rnacentral:lncRNA from 1 species
CUGCUUAUCUACUCUUCCUCCUCAAAUUGGUGAGCUAACUCGGUCUGCCACCCGAAAAGGAGCACUGACUACGCUGAGUCGGUGUUUGGCGUAUGCUCCAGAAAUAAUCCCAGAAGAAGUAGCGGCGGGCUUUCCCCAGCUCAAGGAUGACGGGUCAGAAUUUGCUGAAGAAGACUACCAGCGUGUUGUCAAAGAAUCCCGUUUGGUAGCGACUCAGCUUGCUGCAAGCUUGGAUUUAUCAAAAUACCAAGCCGCCUAUGAAAAACAAGAACAAGAAAGUUAACC